UACGAAGGGGGCUAGCGUUGUUCGGAAUUACUGGGCGUAAAGGGCGCGUAGGCGGUCUUGUCAGUCGGAAGUGAAAGCCCCGGGCUCAACCUGGGAAUUGCUUUCGAUACUGCAAGACUUGAGUUCCGGAGAGGAUGGUGGAAUUCCCAGUGUAGAGGUGAAAUUCGUAGAUAUUGGGAAGAACACCGGUGGCGAAGGCGGCCAUCUGGACGGACACUGACGCUGAGGCGCGAAAGCGUGGGGAGCAAACAGG
rnacentral:rRNA from 1 species